rnacentral:lncRNA from 10 species
GUUACCACCUCUGAGCGGCGACUGGGCCGGAACGGCUGGAGUUCUCGGGUGCCCAGCCGGGCGCUCCCUCAGCCCAGUUCGCCACGUCAGCGAGCGGCCAGAGCCACAGAUGAUGACUGAGUCUCCGAGGCCUCUCGGUCUUUUUCUAUUUUAACAGGGGCGCGUGCAGAGCGUGGAAGGAAGUUGAAAACAUCAAAAGUGCACGGCGCGCGCUUCUGUGGUCCCAGCUACUCGGAAGACCGAGGUGGGAGGAUCUCUUGAGACCAGGGCUUCCAGACCAGCCUGGGCACCGUGGCGAGACUCCGUCUCUUUAAAUAAAUAGCAAUCAUGCAGGCAGUAGGAAAAUAAACAAAAGAGGAAAAACUAUCUUGUUCCAAGUCACAGUCCAGGCCGGGCGCGGUGGCUCACUCCUGUAAUCCCCACACUUUGAGAAGCCGAGGCGGGUGGUUCACCCGAGGUCAGGAGUUCAGACCAGCCUAACAUAGCGAAACCUCGUCUCUACUAAAAAUACAAAAUUAGCCGGGCAUGGUGGCCCAUGCCUGUAAUCCCAAUUACUUGGGAGGCUGAGGCAGGAUAAUCGCUUGAACCCGGGAGGUGUAGGUUGCAGUGAGUCAAGAUCGCGCCAUUGCACUCCAGCCUGGGCAACAAGAGCGAAACUCUAUCUCAAACAAAAAGUCACGGUCCAAAUCAGUACCCUAAGUCAGGUCCCUGAACUCGUCAAUGCCAAGCCAGCCAUUCCACCUUAAGGAACUCUGGUUCCAUCCCCAGACUCAACACAAGCCCAAGAAUAAGCAGAUUCCACCCAAUUCUUCAACAGUCCCUUCCCUCGCGUGUUCCAGUUCUGACCUGCAGGAGCAGGGCAGGGAAAAAACCAAAACCAGGAUUCAAACAUUGACAAACUAACAAGAAGCAUCAACCCCAAGAUAGUUCAAAGCCUCUGAGAUAUUUGAAUGAAGCAAACCCUAACAGUUCAGCUGUCAAUACCGAAAAAGUACCAAAAACUUUAAGCAAAUAAUGUUUAUUUUUAUAUUGAUGAUACACUUAAUAUAUAUGUGGAUUCAAGGUACAAAAUUCAUGUACAAGAGUUCACACCUGAUGAAUGUAGACACAUUCCUAGAGAACAUUUAUCAAUGUGAAAAUUUCUUUAAUACACUGACAACAAAAAUCAAAUAUUCUCUAAUCUCGUUAUUCAAUAAACAUCAAAACAACGUUUCAGUUUUCAUCCUCUAGUACUGAAGUGCCCUCAAGGUGGUAGGCACUGUAUAGCAGGAGAAAACAUUGGAAAGCCUACUGAAUCCGCUCUGCAGAAUCACAGUGUUUACUCUGAAAUUCAUUUAGUGAAGUAGUGGAAGGCUAUCUUUUAUGACAAAUCACAUCUCAUACAAGAGUCAAAAGUGAUGAACUCAAGAAAAUAAAAUGUUUCAAGAACUUCUCAAUUUCUAAAAUCUAUGGAGUAUUAACCAUAACAGACAAAGAAGAAAAAGGCUGCUGGAAAGGAAGAAAAAAACAUCCUGUUUAAGAGAACGUAUGGCUUAAGCAAUUUAGAACACAACUGACAAGACUUUUACAAUACCACAAAUGUUCAAGUCAAAUGAUAGUGACAGUAUAAUUUUCCCCUUAGUCAUUGGUAGUAAAUAGCCCCUUCAAAAUUUAUUCUACUGUUAACACAUAUAAAAACUAUGAAUCCAAACAGUUUUGCUAACGGGGCUGAGUUGAUGGAUUUUUUUCUAAAGUAUUAACUCACAAUAUCCAAAUAUUAAUACAAAUGAACGACAAGAUUGUUUCAAAGAUUACAGUGAUUUGUGAAUAGCUAAAUAGGCAACCAAAUAGCUUCAUUAUUUGCACGACAGAUUAGCAGCACUUGGAUAAGAAUUGUUACAUGAAAAAUAUUGUGCUUCAGUCUCUUGAGGAGAGCUAAUAUAACUCUAUAAUCCCUAUAGUGUUAAAAUUCUAUAACAUUUCAGUUACAGACAAGCACAAUUGUUAAAAAGUAUUUCACACCACUAGAAAAUCGAGUAAUUAUAUCCUCCAAAUGAAUUACUUCUAUGAUUUAAACAAGUGCAUUUCUGCCUAAUAAUCAGAAUGUAGACAAUAAGUUCAGCAUUAUUUUCAAGGGAAAAAGAUCAAACAUAACUUAUUUUAACUCCUAUUUGAUUAUCUUAACCUUUAGUGAUGAUUAGAACUUAAAAAAGGGAAACUCAACCUUCCAAUGGAAACUGCUCAGAGGAAAUAAUAAAGUGUCCUGAAAUUACAAUAAUUCUUAGCACAAAGUAAAAAGUGAUUUAUAACUGCUUCAUCUGAUUCAAUGAUUAAUGAAAUCACUAUUUAUACUGGUGCUACACAACGAAGAUAACCUAUAUGGAUAAGUUAUUUUACUUGUAAACUCUACUAUGAAAAUGUUAGGACUUUGUAUUUGCCUUUCCUAUUAUCUAAGAUGUUUCUACCUCAACUGGAAGAAUCAUCCAAAAUCUAAAGGUUUCUCUGAUUGUUGAACAGCAAGGUUUAUUAAAAAUAAGCAAAAAAGUUGGAGAACUAGCCAUAUGGUCUAUGUGGCAAAAGGAAUGCAUUCAGAUAACUAUAAAAAGCCACAUAAAUCAAGUUCUAGAUUAUUGUACUGAACCAUUAGAAGGUCUUUUUAAUGAUACAGUAACAAGUUAACAAAAACCAUUCUUCAGGAAAUAGUAAUAAAAAUUCCUUUUUUUUUUUUUUUUGAGAAUGAGUCUUGCUCUGUCACCCAGACUGGAGUGCAAUGGCACGAUCUCGGCUCACUGCAACCUCCGCCUCCCAGGUUACAAGCAGUUCUCCUGCCUCAGCCUCCCAAGUAGCUGGGAUUACAGGCGCACACCACCAUGCCUGGCUAAUUUUUUUUUUUUUUUUUUUUUUUUUGUAUUUUAGUAGCGACAGGGUUUCACUGUAUUGCCCAGACUGGUCUCCAACUCCUGAGUAAUAAAAAUUCUUAUUGUGCUAAAACACUAAGCAAUUUUUCCUGCAGAUUUUUAAUUUACCACAGUACAUAGUUUUAAUUUAGAAAAAAAGCAAUUAGUAGCAUGCUUCUUUAAGGGUGGAAAUAAGCUUUUUAAAAAUACAGUGGUUAUCCCUCUAUGGUUUGGAAGUAUUUACUUUUGGGAUUCUCAUGUAUGAUCAUUUCAAAUUUUAUACUUAUUCAUACUGAUUUCAUGUUUGAGAAAAUUUAUGGUUCAAAUUGUAAUGUUUACAAAUCUCAACUUUUAAUCAUGGCAAAGUGGACAUUCACAACAGCUUCAGAAGAGAAAAGAAAAUCAGUGAUAUAACAAACAUUUAAGUAUCAUUUACGGCAGCCCUAUAAGAAGGCUAGCCAUAAUUCCCUAUUUCAUUCUGAAAGUGAUAUCCUAUUAGCUUUCAUUCCAUAAGCCUAGGAGAAAAGUAUAAAACCUAAAAUUACCUAUGUCUUAAACAAUAUUACACCUAAAAAGAUGAUUGUCGUAGUAGACAGACUGGAAUUGUCCACCAAAAUAGGAAAUUGAUACCCAAUUUAUAGUCUAUGAUGAAAUUUAGGCUUGAAUAAGUGAGUUUGUAGUUUUAAUAUAAUGUACUUCAAACUAUUAAAAAAACUGAGUCUAUUGUCCAAGUAUGUUUAAACAUGGCACUGGUUAAAGUAGUCUGAUAACUAUUAAAAAGAAUUUUUUUUAGGCCGGCCACAGUGGCUCACACCUGUAAUCCCAGCACUUUGGGAGGCCGAGGCGGGUGGAUCACUUGAGGUCAGGAGUUCGAGACCAACCUGGCCAACAUGGUGAAACCCCAUCUCUACUAAAAAUACAAAAUUAGCUGGUCGUGGUGGCACACGCCUGUAAUCCCAGCUACUUGGGAGGCUGAGGCAGGAGAAUCUCUUGAACCCAGGAGGCGGAGGUUGCAGUGAGCUGAGAUCGCGCCAUUGCAUUCCAGCCUGGGCAACGAGCAAAACUCCAUCUCAAAAAAAAAAAAAUUAUUAAUUUUUAAAACCACAAAAGAAAUUAACAAAAAUAUUUUAAAAUUAAGAAUGGUGCUUCAAUCAGUUAUUAAAUUAGUUAUACUUAAUACAGUUCUCUUUAUCCAAUUAAAGGCAUAUCACCCUACAUCAUCCUGACACCCUUCCCGUCAAUAGGUGAUUGAUUCCAUUCACACAUCAAUUAUUUUUCCUUAAACACAAGGCAUGCUUAAGUCUUUUUGUUCAAAACUCAGUGAAGCUGGAACAUAGUGUAGUAUUAGGCUUUGAAAUUCUAGUUUGAGGAAGAUGAAUCACUUUUUUUUUUAAGUGGUCCCAUUAUCCAGGAAAGACUGAGAGGUACAGCAAAAAUAGUUGUAAAGUAUCAAUGUAUAAGAGCGCAGGAGACUGGGGGAAAGGGCUGGGUUUUCUAAGCAAGUGUUACCUUAUUCACCCUCAAAGUUAUUGGCUUUACAACGGUUGGGGUCAGAGGUCACAUUCACAAUGUCAAGUGUUUUCUACUGUACUUUUGAUUACCACUACUGUCCUCAAAUUAAUAUCCACAAGGAGCCUGAGUCAGUUCCAUGAAUUUUAAAUGGUAUAAUAUCUGCUCUACUACUCUCCAGUGCAAAAACAAUGAUUUGGUUAUUCAAACAACAAACCAUCAGAUCCUAUGGAUGUUUUCACUGAUUUUUCAGAAAUAAUAAAUUACCAAAUUUUAAUAUUUAUUCAAGAAAAAUGCUGUUAUAAUUAUUUCUGAAUUUAAUACUAUAAUUGAAAAGUCUUAUGAAUAGUUGGCUGUUUUAUUUAAAAUAUAAUGAAUCAGCAAAUGUAACAUUUUUUUGGGUGGUAAAACAGACUCCUGAGAUAAUUUCUCUAUUUUAAGAUAAUAUUGGAUCAGAUAGAUUUAAUCUUCCAAAGAAUACGGUGUAAAAAGUUGCUUUGCAGUUAUAUUUUAUCAUGCAAAAAUAACCUCUACUUAAUUUCUGCAGUGAAUGUAUUUAAGUGUAUAUUAAACAUCUCCUACACUCUUUCAUGCAAAUAAAUAUGUCAACUGAAGUAACCAAACAUUGAUACUUGGCAACAUUCUAUAGGUUCACAAAUUGGCAUUGCACGUAUUUACUAUCCUCUUAUCCUCCCCAACCCUAUCAUCCUUGGGAGAGGUUUGAAGGCCCAGAUUUUUAUAGCACACCAUGCAUCUAAUAUUAAAAACUCUACUUCAUGUGCGAAUAUAUCAUCAACUUGCAGAACACAAGUGGUCUCAUAGAGACACAGCAAUACGAGUGAAGGCAUUUUAUUCAGUGGAAGCAUUUUCUCAGAUGAGCCUACUCACCUUUGAUAUGCAAGUCCAGUAAGAAAAAAUCUGUAGCCGGAAAUGCCAAGACAGGACUAAAUUAAUCAUAGCUGCUGCAAAUAUACAAAUUAACAACCUCCCGUUCCUCACUAAAUCCUAUCCUACUUAGGUUAGGCCAUCCCUUAGCUAAUGCCCCCUUUUCUGCCUCAUAGAGACACAUAAAACACUGAUGAAAAAAGAAUUGUUCCAAAAUCAAAAUUCAGUAUGAGGCAUAAAAAUGACAACUGGGAAUAUAUUUCCCCUAUUUAAUGGACAUUUUCCUAUGUUUUUAAAUGUGAUUAAAGCAAUUUUUUUCCACAGCCUCUCUAUUAAGCCCCAAUAUACAUAAUUUACUACUCAGUAAUAAUACUUAAAUAUGGAUCAAGAAAAUAAAGGACUACUACAGCCUAAGAAUCUGCUGGUGUCUCAGUUUCACAUACUUAGGUUUUUCAGGUUAUAUCACUAAUUUAUCAUCAGUUUAAAUAAAAAUUUGCAGGUGAUUUUAAAGCUAAGAAUAAAUAUCUAGCUUUCUGUUAAGAUCUUCAUAUCCUAAUUUCAACUCCAAAUUAGCCCAUUUUAUCCAAACACAAGCCUCUCAAAAUAGAGGCUUAUGAAUGAGAUACAGCCACAACCUAAUUACAGCAGCAUGAACAAUGCCACUAGGAUGUCCUCACAGAACUUAAAUAAAUUCAGCCCACAAUGGGUAUGGGUACAUAAUAUACACAUACUGUAUCACUGCAUACCAAUAUAUUUACAAAUAUGUAUACAUAUAUACAAAAAGUAUACACAGAGAUUGCAUGUAGCAUCACAAAAAUAUACAUAUGCCAUUACAAAUAAAAUAAGAAUUUCAAAUAAAUAAGGUCAACAAAAGAGCCCUCAAGGUAAAUACCCUCUAUGAUUUCCAAACACACACAGGAACAUAUACACCCAAAACAUCACCAGGAGACUCAUAGCAUUCAUAUUCAUAUCAAAUCUUUUACUCAGGGUGGGGAGGUGGUUUUGAAUCACUGGCAAUGGCCAAAUUAGCAGACCUUGGUACCUGACUAUAUUUCCAGUCCAGAGUGUUCUCUGUAUAUCAGGCUGAUUACAAGUCUCCAUAAAUAAAAUUUUUCAGCUGGGUCCAAACUGCUUCUCAGAGACAGAAAGUUACUAUAUCACACAUGUCAGAGAUUAAACUUGGAGGAGAGUGCUAAAGAAAGCUCCAUAAUACCUAAUACAUAAAUCCGAUUUGUCGCUUUUCCCAUUAUCCUGACUAAAUCAGUAUAAUUACGACAUAAUCUGUUUCAGGGAAUUCUAUUGCACAAAGGAAAUAAAGGGCAGUAGCCAGAAGUUGGAGGGGAGGGAACCACCCGGAUCCUCUAUCAGGAAAACUCCAGCCACAAUUGGAUUGCACUUUGCUUCUGAAAUCCUGAAACGUUUCAAUUUGGUAAAAAUAAAGAGGGUACAAUAAAUUCUGUGCUUUGAAAGGUUUGAGAGCACCACUUUCUAAGAGAAACACACACAUGCAAAUGAAGAAUACAUCCUGGCUAGAAUAAAAGAUAAAAUGUCAGAUUUGUGGAUUUUUACAAUAAAAAUUUGAUACUGUUUUGUGCCAAAAUACAAAUCCCUAAUUAUUCUUUCUUGUUCAUUAUAGAAAGCAGUCUGAGCUACUGAGAAGACUGGGCUGAGAUGAGGAGAUCUGAGUUUUAGUUCUAGCUCUAUCACUAUGAAUAGCUUUUUGGGUCUCAGCUUUCUCUUCUGUAAAAUAGAGAAGAUAGUUGCUUUACCAACUUCAGAAAUAUACAGAUAAAGAAAGAGAAAAUUCCACUGUGCUUCAUUUUGUUUUGUGUAUAACUGACUUCUUGCAGUCUUAUGCUUUCUAUGUUGUUUACAGUGAUAGUUAAGAGAGAUGAGAGACUAUCAGAAUCUCCAGGGACAGUUUGUGCAAUUUGAAAACAAAGGAGUGCUUUUUCCCUUUGCUUUGCUCUGUUCUUAGUUCCAAUAUUUAAAUUUUUAUGAAUUAUAAAAUUAAAUACAUUAGGGUUUAAAUUUUUUUAUAAAGGGCAGGUGGUAUGCAUUUUUAAAAAAUGAAAUUCUUUGCCACUAUCAUCAGCUCAAGCCCAUUGGGCAACUGUCCUUUUAGAUAAUUCUUCUCCCUUGAUUAAAGAAAUACAGAAGCUGGGUAAGGUACAAGGAGGAUUUAUUAAACUGUAUGUUUAGGCUGGGCGUGGUGGCUCAUGCCUGUAAUCCCAGCACUUUGGGAGGCCGAGGCCAACGGAUCACCUCAAAUCAGGAGUUCGAGACCAGCCUGACCAACAUGGUGAAACCCCAUCUCAAAACACAAAAUUAGCUGGGUGUGGUGGCACAUGCCUGUAAUCCCAGCUACUGGGGAGGCUGAGGCAGGAGAAUCACUUGAAACUGGAAGGUGGAGGUUGCAGUGAGCUGAGAUCCUGCCACCACACUGCAGCCUGAGUAACAAGAGUGAAACUCCGUCUCAAAAACAAAAAACAAAAAAACUAUGUUUAAAACUUUCAUAAAAAGAAAGAAAAGGCAAAGUGUUCAUGCAAAUGUGACCUUCCUAAUGAAGCCUACCCUGAUCAUCACUUUUUCUUUUCUUUUUUUCCAGAGACGAGGUCUUGCUUUGCCAUCCAGGCUGGAGUGCAGUGGUGCAAUCACAGCUCACUGCAGCCACAAACUCCUGGGCUCAAGUGACCCUCCCACCUCGGCCUCCCAGGUAGCUGGGACUAAUAGGGUCAUGCCACCAUGCCCUGCUUGAUCACUCUUUUAAACAUUGUUCUUCUCUUAAGAAAACAAACAAAAGAUUUACCUUACCAUAAUCUACACUUUUCCAUCCUACUUAACAUUUUCUAACAUAAAUUACUUAUGUUUAUUGCCUUACUCCUUCUACUAGAAUGUAAGCUUCAUGAACAUGAGGAUUUUUAAGUCUAUUUUGUUUGCUUCCCCAAUGCCCAGAAGAAAAUCUGGAGUAUAGUCUUUGUUUAAUACGCAUUUUUUUGAAGGCAUCAAUGAAACAAUAACAUUUUCCAGCACAGUUUUCCUCUCUUUGAAGAUUCAAGAUCACUUCAGUCCACUUUAGAUUUUUAACUACCAGUAAGGAAUUACACUAUUAGCUUAAGGGGCAACAUCAUAAGGGUCAAUGUUGUGAUUUCUAAGACCCUCAUUUUUAGACAAGCAUGUUUCUAAUCAUAAAAGCUCUAAUUUCCUCAGGAGAGUCUCUGUCUGUACUAGUUUCUAAAACAGCUAAGUGGGACCCAGAUUUUCUUGAACAAAAUCUAGGUAAAUAUGACUUACAAAAGAAAAGGUUGUGUACACUACAAACAGGGUAAAUAGUUCUCUUGGUGGUUGGAGUGGGGAAAUCAAUAUUUUUGGAACCAAGAGUCCAAAUUACAGAAUCAGAGUUGGAGAAGACCUGGGCCAACCUCUUCAUUUUACAGAUGAGAGUGCUAACAAGCAGAGACAUGAAGACAGUUGUCAAAGGGCAUAACGCUUAAGUUACCAGGAAAGCCAGGACUAGAACUUAGGUCUCCUAGUUCUCAGACCAGUGUUCUUUAUGCUUAACGGGGGAGGAUAAAGCUCAGAACAGUAAAUACUAUUUUAAACAUUAGAGGACAGGAAACUCUGUGUUGGUAGGAGCAUAACUGGCACAGGACUUAAGGGGAAUUGAAACAAGAGGUCAGAAAACCGAAGAUAGUCUAUUGCUGUAGUUCAAUGAACACUGUUACUAAAGGAAAGCUAUGAAGUUUAUUAAGAUACUGAAAAAAAAGGAAAGCAGUCUUUACCUGAAAAUGAAAACCCACUAGCAAAGGAAAUCUUUCCAGGGUAACUUUUCCCAAGCUUUCUGAAAUACUGUUUGAAAGAACAAACAAAAAAAUUUUUAAAAAGUAAACAGGCCAGGUACAGUGGCUCACACCUGUAAUCCUAGCACUUUGGGAGGUUGAGGCAGGAGGAUCACUUGAGCCCAGGAGUUUGAGGCCAGCCUGCUCAACAAAGUGAGACCAUGUCUCUACAAAAAAUUAAAAAAUAAAGAAAAUUAGCCAGGCAUGGUGGCGCAUGCCUGUAGUCCCAGCUACUUGGGAGGCUGAGGUGAGAAGAUUGCCUGAAUCCAGGAAUUUGAGGCUGCAGUGAGCCAUGAAUGUACCGCUGCACCCCAACCUGGGCAACAAAGCAAGACUCUGUCUCUUAAAAAAAAAAAAAAAAAAAAGUAAAAUACUCCCCAAGUCCCCAAACCCCAAAAACAGUAACUUUGGACUUCAGGUUUGAAAAAUCAGCAAAUCAAAGCAGGAAUGGGAAUAACUUAGACCCAAAUUAGUCUCUAUGCCAGAAAUGAAAACCAAGUUAAAAAUAAUAGCCAGGUGCGGUGGCUCACGCCUGUAAUCCCAGCACUUU